AGCGAACGCUGGCGGCAGGCCUAACACAUGCAAGUCGAGCGCCCCGCAAGGGGAGAGGCAGACGGGAGAGUAACACGUGGGAACGUACCCUUCAGUUCGGAACAACCCAGGGAAACUUGGGCUAAUACCGGAUACGUCCGUAAGGAGAAAGAUUUAUCGCUGAAGGAUCGGCCCGCGUCCGAUUAGCUAGUUGGUGAGGUAACGGCUCACCAAGGCGACGAUUGGUAGCUGGUCUGAGAGGAGAAUCAGCCCCACUGGGACUGGGACACGGCCCAGCGUCCUAGGGGGGGCAGGCGAGGGGAAUAUUGGACAAUGGGCGCAAGCCUGAUCCAGCCAUGCCGCGUGGAAGAUGCAGGACCUAGGGUUGUAAAGUCCUUUCGGCGGGGAAGAUAAUGACGGUACCCGCAGAAGAAGCCCCGGCUAACUUCGUGCCAGCCGCCGCGGUAAAAC
rnacentral:rRNA from 1 species